rnacentral:rRNA from 1 species
UUUUUACCGAGGGUUGGCUCAAACAACUCCCUUGUCCCUUCUGUCGCCCUCUUCUUCCCUUCUCCUGCUCUUUUCGGCUUUUAUUUUGGAGAGGAAGGGGAGGGGGACAAGCAGCAAGAAGAGCCAAGCUAGGUGAGGUCGUCGGGGUUUAGGGCCGGGCUAAGGAGGGGUUUAGGUUAGCUGAGGGACGGCCUUAGGCGGGAGGGUGACUAGCGGCGUUCGAGGGCCUGGGCCUCGUUCGUUAAAGCGCGGCGUUCUUGACGAGCGGCAGGCACCUGUUUUCGGGAGCGGGCUGAGAGGGUUGAAGAAAAGACAAGCAGGACUGGUAGCAGAAUGCGCGGAGCGGCGGUAGCGGCAGCGUCAAGAAGGAGCAGAGCAGACCUGUAGGCGCAAGGACGAUAGACGUGGGGCAGGCGUCGGAAACCCAAAGCUCUAGGCGGGAACUACCGCCCCCUCCUCCGGCGCCUCCCUUCGCCCUUGUCCUCCGCCUACCUAGAUUUGGACAUGGACCCGGAGGGAGGUAACGGCGCCGGAGGUCCAGCCGACCCGCAUCGAUACCUAACGGGCGGCGGCGGGUUGAGCCGGUAAGGCCAAGGCCUUAGAGGUUCUUGCCUACUCGGACGUCAUAAUGGCCGUGGUCUCCUCUACGGCGGUGACGGGCAACAUAUGAGCGGCAGGUUACGCGAGAGGUGCGGCCUCGAUAGCGACUAUCUAGGCUACGAGAAACUAACCGAACUACCGGAGUCAUGCCUGUCACUUCUCCGAGAACUACGACCACUUGGCCGACACCACGCGCUGCGCGGGAGUGUACUACGGUUACAUAGUGGUGGCGGCGGUCGCGGUAACAGAGAAGGACCCGACCUUCCCCAAGCGGAACUUACCCACCUUUCCGAAAGAGUGGGAUAAGACCACCGAGGACGUCGGCCUCGUCUCUACCACUCGUGCUCCCACUACUCCGUUAGAUACCCCCGACACUUACGUUAACUUCUGUACUGCGGACUCGAGGCGGACGUCUCCAACUAGGUCCACUCACUUGUCGUGGUGUAACACUUGGCGUUGGUCGCCGGCUGGUCGGGUCUUCGUCUUUCUGACCGCGUUCGGUAGGUCGCCAGAGUGUCGAGAGAUCUACGUAGUUCCGCCGUCUUCGAGCUACCACUACCGUUCUACUGUCCUUACCCACGGCAGUUCUUCCUGCCCUUGACACCCACGUUGAGGUCAAAGCUCACGUUAUAGACGGAACUUCGCCGAUUUCUCGGACACCAAUGUGGCACGCCGGUGGAGAAGACGACCGGUACGAACAUGGUCACCGAGGUACCUGUAAGUCGGGUGAGACUCACGGGACAGACGUUCCCUCUCCACGAGCUUCAUUUACAGUGUGGUUAUAUACCUUCUCCUCCGCCACUUGCCCUGCGGAGGUCGUUACUACAAGGAGGGUCUGGUGCGCGUUUGUCCUCACUCUCGAACUCCGUCGUCGACGUUUACGGUCUGGGUUCUCCGUAACGUUCGUACCACUCUGCCAACUAUCUUUUGGUCCUAUAUCACUCUCCGGUCCGUCGAGGUGGACGUCCGCCCCAACUCCACUGACAUGAAGGGUGUCGGGCCAGUUCCCGAUCCCAUGCCUCUGUCGUUUCUGUGUCAGAACAAAGUGGGAGGGGUUAUUACGACGCACGUUCGUUGCGCCGGGGACUCUCACCGUUAGUCCAGGCUAACGGCAGAAGAUUAAGGCAAUUACGACGUGGGUGUCAAUGAGUCGUCAGCAGUAGGUACCUCGUCCGUAGCUGAAGAUCGUGGGACCGACAAUAUCACCCUGUCCGUCGGGUUUCAUCCUCCAGGUCUGGAAGCCUCAGGUGUUGGUGUUCUUCUUGUUCCUCCUCCGUCGUCGUCAUCCAUUUUCACCACGACGGUAAAAGAGGUUAUUUUGUAUAUAUCUAGUACGAAACAGACAUGGUACAGUUCGAGGUUUUUGUAUCAGUUCUAAUAUUCCAUCCUUACAUAUACGAUAACGAAACGAGUACAUAUGGAAAAAGUACCUUUUCCUUAAUAAUCGUACAUACACCCCUAUUUAAAGGGACUAUAACGUAGACAAACAAAAAGUCACUUAACAAUUAACAAUAGAGACAUGACACAUACGGACUUAAACUUCUAUCAAUUAAAGGAGUCGAUAUCAAAAACAUGGCAGUUCUGACUACUUACAUCGUUGUUUACGUGGUAAGAAAAGAUAAGAUUCCAAAGGAGAACAGAAUUACUGAACUAGAUCACAGGUCUUUCUAACCGUAGGUCUAGAACCUAUUUAGAAAAACAAAAAGAGUACUAGACUUUACUAUCAGGUUACAUUAAACAUCAUAUAAUCAUGUUCAGUGACGCUUUUUUUUACUUCUAUAAAAAGGAAAUUCGAGGACGUCUUGUACUUCUCAAGAAGACCUAAACGGUGGCGUCGGUCGACAAAACUGUAACAUAUUUCACCUAUCAUGUGAUUAUCCAACAGUUACAAACCUUGUACGUCGUCAUGAGAUGAAGAGACAGGGUUUGUUCGUUGGUCGACAGGUCAAAAUCAGCUUGUAGAGUACCCCGUAACAGACGGGGACGUAUAGUUCUUGGUCAGAGGGAGACUCUUUUUUAUUUUCUUGGUCUUCUACUGGUUUAAACAAACUUGUCUACUUGUAAACGAUAAAUGUAAAGUCCUAACAGUAAACUAAUGUGGCUUGUUGUCCUUUGUGAUAUCUCAUAUAGUGUCUAUAAAGCGCUCCAGGUUUUCAUAGUGGUAACCAUCAAGACCUCUAGUUCUACCAACCUACCCAGUCGCAGUUUAUCUCAAAUACCUUAAGUGGUCGAAGAGUUUGGAACAGGUACACGUUUGGAGACGUUUUUACAGUCUGACGAGGACCUAUACGUGUACUAACGAGUAAAACACUGGUCGUGGACCCUUGUUGCAUCGUUAUCUCUCGAUGUUUAUGACAAUACCCAUCAUGUUAUAGAAGUCAUGUACAUUGUACAGAUAGAUCAGAGCUGCAUUGACAUUUUACGACUCAAACAUUAAAAAGAACCUUCACAAACAGGUCACUGACCACAUUAAAGGGAACCAGGGAAGAUCAGAUCAAAAUUCACUUUACGUCUAGAGGACGUUACAAAGUCUUUGUUUUAGUUUUACCGUUAUUUUUUUGAUAUGUAAGAUUGUUUCUGAGCGACUGGAUUGACUAACAAAAUACGUUGAGUAUGUGUUUCCUUUGUGGUCAAAGCUAUAAAACUGGUACGUUCAAAACCCGUUGGACGAACCUAUGGUUUUCUUCCACGUAAGUAGUUAACCUAACACGUGUACAAGUACAUGGUGAGGGUGUCAGUUUACUGCUAACUUACGUAGCACACGUCUUCUUUACCGAGUUGAAUCGUGACUACAAAGGAAAAGUAGGAUUAGGAAGUUUCGGGGCCGUCAACCAAUCAC